rnacentral:rRNA from 1 species
AGAGUUUGAUCAUGGCUCAGAAUGAACGCNGGCGGCGUGCUNNCNCAUGCAAGUCGUACGAGAACUCUUUAGCUUGCUAAAGAUAGUAAAGUGGCGAACGGGUGAGUAACGCGUGGGUAAUCUACCUCCGAAUUGGGGAUAACAUUGCGAAAGCGAUGCUAAUACCGAAUAAUAUCUUUUUAGCUUCGGCUUUUAAGAUCAAAGGUGGCCUCUACAUGUAAGCUACUGUUUGGAGAUGAGCCCGCGUACCAUUAGCUUGUUGGUAGGGUAACGGCCUACCAAGGCUGCGAUGGUUAGCUGGUCUGAGAGGAUGAUCAGCCACACUGGAACUGACACACGGUCCAGACUCCUACGGGAGGCAGCAGUGAGGAAUUUUGCGCAAUGGGGGAAACCCUGACGCAGCAACGCCGCGUGAGUGAUGAAGGCUUUCGGGUCGUAAAGCUCUGUCAAGUGGGAAGAAACUGAUAGGCAUUAAUACUGUCUUUCAUUGACGGUACCACUGAAGGAAGCACCGGCUAACUCCGUGCCAGCAGCCGCGGUAAUACGGGGGGUGCAAGCGUUAUUCGGAAUUAUUAGGCGUAAAGGGCGCGUAGGCGGCUUUUUAAGUCAGAUGUGAAAGCCCGGGGCUUAACCCCGGAAGUGCAUUUGAAACUAAGGAGCUUGAGUAUGGGAGAGGGAAGUGGAAUUCCUGGUGUAGAGGUGAAAUUCGUAGAUAUCAGGAGGAACACCGGUGGCGAAGGCGACUUCCUGGACCAAUACUGACGCUGAGGCGCGAAGGCGUGGGGAGCAAACAGGAUUAGAUACCCUGGUAGUCCACGCAGUAAACGGUGAACACUAGGUGUAGCGGGUAUUGACCCCUGCUGUGCCGCAGUUAACGCAUUAAGUGUUCCGCCUGGGAAGUACGACCGCAAGGUUAAAACUCAAAGGAAUUGACGG